rnacentral:lncRNA from 1 species
UUGUUCUCCAUGAUCUUCCACUUCAUGUUUCGACUCUAUUCUUGAUUCACUUGAAAUUUAUACACUAUCAACAAGUUGUUCCAUAUAUAAUGAAACCAUUAAAACCAUUUAGAACACAUUAAACACCAUAGAAUCCAACAAAAGAGAAUAGACAAGCACCUAGCUCAAGCUAGUAACACUAGUUUCAUCGAUUGAACUCUAAGUGAUCCAUUAAACCCAAACUUGUUU